AGGAUUAAAGAAGAAGCAAAUCAUAAGACCACCAAUUAUCACAUGAUUAAAAAAGCUGAACAUAUGAUACUUAAAACAAGGCCAAGGAGGGGACAAAAGAAGCUCAGAAACAAAACUAGCAAAAUAAGAAAAGAGAGUAUCCAUCUGAUUCCUCUUCAACAACACUGAAUCGAAUAAUCUCAUCUUGAAGUUUUCAGCUUUCUAUAGUUUUUUUUUUUUUUGGCAAAGUAACUAUCUUUGAUGUAAGCAUCGUUCUAUCAAAUAAACUACUAGAGACAAUAGUCAUUACAAGCAGAGCAAGCCAAGAACGUAACUCAUAAGAAAGAAAGAAAGCAUCUUUCUUGAAGCAAGGAAACAAUAAUCCUAAGGCUAAAGUAUGAUAUUACCAAUGUCAUAGACAAUGAUGUCGUUGAGGAACUUCUUGUCGACGAGGCCGCCGAACACCACGACCAUGGAUUUUCCGACAUUGACAGCUGUAUGUCCAC